rnacentral:rRNA from 1 species
AGAGUUUGAUCAUGGCUCAGGAUGAACGCUAGCUACAGGCUUAACACAUGCAAGUCGAGGGGAAACGACAUCGAAAGCUUGCUUUUGAUGGGCGUCGACCGGCGCACGGGUGAGUAACACGUAUCCAACCUGCCCACCACUUGGGGAUAACCUUGCGAAAGUAAGACUAAUACCCAAUGACGUCUCUAGAAGACAUCUGGAAAGAGAUUAAAGAUUUAUCGGUGAUGGAUGGGGAUGCGUCUGAUUAGCUUGUUGGCGGGGUAACGCCACCAAGGCGACGAUCAGUAGGGGUUCUGAGAGGAAGGUCCCCCANAUUGGAACUGAGACACGGUCCAAACUCCUACGGGAGCA